rnacentral:rRNA from 1 species
UCCUACGGGAGGCAGCAGUAGGGAAUAUUCCGCAAUGGACGAAAGUCUGACGGAGCAACGCCGCGUGAACGAAGAAGGCCUUCGGGUCGUAAAGUUCUGUUGUUAGGGAAGAACAAGUACCAGAGUAACUGCUGGUACCUUGACGGUACCUAACCAGAAAGCCACGGCUAACUACGUGCCAGCAGCCGCGGUAAUACGUAGGUGGCAAGCGUUGUCCGGAAUUAUUGGGCGUAAAGCGCGCGCAGGUGGUUCCUUAAGUCUGAUGUGAAAGCCCACGGCUCAACCGUGGAGGGUCAUUGGAAACUGGGGAACUUGAGUGCAGAAGAGGAAAGUGGAAUUCCAAGUGUAGCGGUGAAAUGCGUAGAGAUUUGGAGGAACACCAGUGGCGAAGGCGACUUUCUGGUCUGUAACUGACACUGAGGCGCGAAAGCGUGGGGAGCAAACAGGAUUAGAUACCCUGGUAGUCCACGCCGUAAACGAUGAGUGCUAAGUGUUAGAGGGUUUCCGCCCUUUAGUGCUGCAGCUAACGCAUAAGCA